UCUGAUCGGUCACACAACCCCCAGUGCUGCAUUUAGAUAACUACAGUGUAAAGCCUGUGGUUUUGUCUAUAAGCGUGUGUCUGUGCGAACCUGCAUUCUUAUGUGCAUAUCACACACAAUUUUACUCGAUAGGUUUUAUGCAAAAAGCGAAAAUAAAUAAAUAAUCAACACUGAGUAUUUUCUAAAUGUUCCACUUGCUUAUCCGAGAAAAUUAAAAGCCAGUUUCCUUGCAGGUGAAAAAUCAAGACAGAAUAGAGGAGAUUGCAGUAACCAAACGGCUCUCUCCACAUUCAUCUUGGUUCAAAUGGCUCAUCGGUCUUGGUGGAAGGUUUAGAGUUUUCUGGUUUGGUCUGGACCAAAGACCAAAGACAUGCAGGGUUCAACUCCUGGUUCAGCUGCGGCUUUCCCUCUGACAGUUUGGAAAAUGACCAAUGGUCAUGAAAAGUACAGUUAUCCAUGUUUCUCUUUUUGUUCAUUUGUUGACAUGAAAUUUUAAUUAUUUGUAGUUUUUAAUUACUUUGCUUUCACUUGAAUUUAAUCUUUUUACCUGCAUGCAGAAAAAAGAAAAAAACUCCAAGAUUAAGCACAGUGGUCAAAGAACAGUUGACAAUGGAUGAACUGCACUUAAAGCAGCUCUUUAUCAUCUUUUAACAAUUAUUUCAUACCAGACAGACAGACAGAUUAUUAGAUAAAGCCCUUGUUCCCUAUUGCUUAAUCUCCGGCAUGGGUUUCAUAGAUUCACUGGUAAGUGUAGUAAAAUGUAAUGCUACCCAACUUUCAAGACACAUCGAAUGAGAUAAGACCUGAGAAACACACCUUCUCAACCCAUCGGUGUCUGCUCUUAUCUUUAAGGGCACAGGUGUUUGAAAACCUGCCGAGCUGAGUAUUUAUUACCAACAUGAACACCCACACACAUGCACAAGUUAUUUGCUCCUUAUUAUCUGCCACAGAUAGUUGAUGUCUCCAAAAAAAUGUGCUGUUGGGACAGAGAUUGAUGUUUGAUGAAUCAUUUUAAAAUCCAUCUGUUCUUGAAUCGUCUUAUCUCAGAAGGAAAACUUGUUUGGAAGGAAAAUAUUUAGGAGAAUGAUCAGAGAGAAAUUGUUUGAAGACAGCAGGUUGAGUUUUAUGACAACUAAGUUCUUCUUUCACUAUCUUUGAAGACCUAUUUCUCUGAUAAUCCUCCCUCGUUUUCCUCUUUUGUUUGCAUGUGUCCUUUGUCUGUCCCUGCAACUGUUGAGCCUACAGGCCUUUUACAGCUCUCUCUACACACACAGACCCAACAAGCACAGAGUCGCACACGGUGGGUUCUGAGUGUCCUCUGUCAGCAAUUUUCAGUUCUUCCCGUCGCCUUCCAUAGAAGACAGAAUGAGGAAGAAAACAAAACACAUCAAUAUUAAAAAUAUUGUGGAGUGGCUGCCUGUUUUUUUUCUCAUUGGGUGUUUCUCUGACGUGUUAACGCUACUUUAUACACUUAAGAAAGUAGGAAAAAUCAUCUGUCUGUCCUUGUUUACUACUCUGUUGCCACAAUGACUGUGUUGCACACGCACAAACAUGAAAAAAAUGGGAUGGGAGGCACUGCAUGAGCAAUAAGGAAAAGAGUUUCCGAAGGUAGUUAAGACUACAUUCCUUUUAACCUUCACAAACCUUUGGCUGGUUGAAGCAUGUAGUGAGCGUGCAAAGAAUGCUGGCAUUCAACGAAAUGUUUAAACUGUUUUAUUUCCAAACAUGUAAGGCUUUUGGUUCCAAAGUUAUUUCUUCCCCAUUUUAACCUCUUUCAAAGUCACUGAGACAAUUGUCUGGAAUAAGCCAAGUGCCUUUAAAGUGUUAAUAUGUUUCCAAGUAUCCUUAAUGCUGUGCAAAAACAGACAAUAAAUAUUUUCUUCAACAUA